GCAAACUUGGUCAUUUAGAGGAAGUAAAAGUCGUAACAAGGUCUCCGUAGGUGAACCUGCGGAGGGAUCAUUAUCGGGUCCCCGCUCCUAGUAGCGGACCUCUCAUCCUUGUCUUCGCUACCAACGUUGCCCUGGCGGGUCAAGGGUUGGCCCCGCCCCGCUAGGGGUCUAAGUCUCGAUAUUUAACGGUCGUCCGAGCAUAUUUAGAAAACGUGAAAACUUUCAACAACGGAUCUCUUGGUUCUGGCAUCGAUGAAGAACGCAGC
rnacentral:misc_RNA from 1 species